AGUAACCAAGUUUAAGGUAAUUUUCCAUAACUUUAUCACUGUUUGAUAAAACUUUUAAACAAAUGUUCACAUUAACUAAAAAUUAAGAAAAAAAACGUAAUAAUAAUUUUGAAUAAUUAUUAUAGACUGAUUAUUAAAUUUAUUGUAGGAGUUGAGCAAAUAAACAUGAAGCAACAUCAACGUAGUACAACAGCUGACAUUUAAUUUGGAAUUGCUUAGAAUGCUAUUUAUUCCAUUGUGAAAUGAACUCUUGUCAAGGUUUUGAAGCUUUUAUCAAAGAAUUUUUUAGAAAUCAAUUAUGUGAAUAACAGCUUCUUUAGAAUUAUUGAUAUCUUUUAUGAACUCUUAUGAAGUCUAUCAUUUAAAAGUAUUACAUCAAAUCUUGAAGGCUUAAAUUAAUUUUUUAUUAAAAGAAGAAAAAUGUCAAGAUCAUAAUCAAGUAUUUAUUCAUAUUUAAAUGAAUAAAAUAAAUAAAGAAACUUUAUCAUAUAUUAUUUCAAAUUAGUCAACUAAGCUGUUGAAUUUUACAGUCUCAUCAAUUCAUCAUAAGACUCAAUUAUUCCAAGAUAAUUUCAUAUGAGACGAUAAUGAACAUACUCACGAAAUCUUUUUUAUUUUAAUGAAAUUACAGCCUUCAUAAAAGUUUCCAAAUUACCUGUUGUUUUUAAGUCUUUUACAAAGAAGAUGCGGAAAUGAAUUUUGCGGUCAUUAGGCUGAACUUAAUAACAAUGUUGCUACUUUCUUUUUAUACAUGAUAUAUACAAUAAAGAGAAAGUGUAUUACCAUCAGACAAAUUCGUAUGAGGGGGAAAGCGUUCAAGUCUGAAGAAAUUGAGAUUCCUUAGAGCAUCAUUUAUUCAGAAAUGUUUCAUCGGAUGUCCCUUCACUGGCGAUUUAAUCGUUACAUGACUCUUGGUAACAUAUAGUUACAGCUCAAGGAGAGGCUAACUUCUUGAAGAUUGUAUCGAUGAGUUUUUACUAUAUCAUGAGAAAAAUAGGAAGCCUACAUGGAUAGGAAAGAAUCGAUCUGAAUGUGAAAGUCUUGAAAGUAAAUGAGAUCGUGGACAUGAGUGCACUCGAAGUUGAGACUUUCUUCAGUCACCUUCAAGUAUAUACAUAUAGAAAAUCCAUAUGCAAUUUUCUGCUUCAAGAUAACCACUAUGUUUAUACACAGCUAUUUAUUUUAAUGAAGAUGAAUUCAACAAAAAAAUGAUAAAUUAUUGGCGCUAUGAUUUCUGUGAAACAUCCAUUAUUCAUUCAAUUUUUUCCAUGUAAUCGAAGAUCAAAACCUUUUACAUUCACAGUCUUCUUUAUUGUGAAAAAAGUAAUUUCAAAUUUAUUUUGAAAUAACAUCUUGUCUAGGAAAGUAAUUACAUGGUCCAAUUAUUUUUUAUGUAUUUUUCCGGCAUCACAGAGAAAGUAUUCACUUAGUGUUUGGCUAAUUGAAAUUGCGGUCUUUCUCUUGGGGUAAUUUGUUAGAAAAGAAAACCAAAAGAAUCUCGAGGUCUUCAUCGAAUUGUUAAUUUCAUCAACAAUGAUGAUCAUUUUUGCUGGAAAUAAUUUAUACAUUUAAUGUCACCACAAGCGAAUCAAUAAAUAUAUAUUUCUUUACUAUU
rnacentral:lncRNA from 1 species